UAAGCUAAAAGAGAUUUGCAUAGAAAUUAAAAAGUGUAGACAAGCUUGGAAAGAAAAUUGGGGCUAGCAAAAUGUAAAUCUAUCUAAGAUACUAACUAUAGAAAUGACUAGGUAGAAAAAGUGGGUAGGUAGAGAUUUGCAUAGAAAUUAAAAACUGUAUACAAGCUUGGAAAGAAAAUUGGGGCUAGCAAAAUGUAAAUCUAUCUACGAUACUAACUAUAGAAAUGACUAGGUAGAAAAAGUGGGUAGGUAGCUAGGUUGGUCAUUACAAGUAAUGAGAAGGGGGUAUUUAUAACUAAACAAUUAGGGUUUAGGGGUAGGGUGGCUAAAUCUUGACCAUCCAUGUGCCUUGUGUGUUGGGAAGAUUGUGGCCCUCCAUGUGUCCCUUAGUUGCCAACUCUUUUUUUUUUUCUUCUUUUCUUUUCAUUUUCUUCUUUUUCUUGCAUUUUCUCUUCUUUCUUUAUUUAUCUACAAUUUCCUGAAAUAAAAUAAAUAAGCGAUUAAUACUACGAAAAUAAACAAAAA
rnacentral:lncRNA from 1 species